rnacentral:rRNA from 1 species
AGUGAACGCUGGCGGUAGGCCUAACACAUGCAAGUCGAACGGCAGCACAGUAAGAGCUUGCUCUUACGGGUGGCGAGUGGCGGACGGGUGAGGAAUACAUCGGAAUCUACUUUUUCGUGGGGGAUAACGUAGGGAAACUUACGCUAAUACCGCAUACGACCUACGGGUGAAAGCAGGGGAUCUUCGGACCUUGCGCGAUUGAAUGAGCCGAUGUCGGAUUAGCUAGUUGGCGGGGUAAAGGCCCACCAAGGCGACGAUCCGUAGCUGGUCUGAGAGGAUGAUCAGCCACACUGGAACUGAGACACGGUCCAGACUCCUACGGGAGGCAGCAGUGGGGAAUAUUGGACAAAGGGCGCAAGCCUGAUCCAGCCAUACCGCGUGGGUGAAGAAGGCCUUCGGGUUGUAAAGCCCUUUUGUUGGGAAAGAAAAGCAGCAGGUUAAUACCACGCUGUUCUGACGGUACCCAAAGAAUAAGCACCGGCUAACUUCGUG